rnacentral:rRNA from 1 species
AGGACGUCGUCGUCCUACCUACGAGAAGAAGUAGUAGGCGGACGGUAGGAGACGUAACACGUGGGUAACCUGCCAUAAGGAGGGGGAUAACAUCCGGAAACGGGUGCUAAUACCGCAUAGUUUUCUUGAUCGCAUGAUUGAGAAAGGAAAGACGGCCUUUGUGCUGUCGCUUAUGGAUGGACCCGCGGCGUAUUAGUUAGUUGGUGAGGUAACGGCUCACCAAGACGAUGAUACGUAGCCGACCUGAGAGGUGAUCGGCCACAUUGGGACUGAGACACGGCCCAAACUCCUACGGGAGGCAGCAGUAGGGAAUCUUCCGCAAUGGACGAAAGUCUGACGGAGCAACGCCGCGUGAGUGAAAGAAGGUCUUCGGAUCGUAAAACUCUGUUGUCAGGGAAGAACAAGUUGGAGAGUAACUGCUCCAGCCUUGACGGUAUCUGACCAGAAAGCCACGGCUAACUACGUGCCAGCCGCCGC